rnacentral:rRNA from 1 species
AUUGAACGCUGGCGGCAGGCCUAACACAUGCAAGUCGAGCGGAUGAAGGGAGCUUGCUCCUGGAUUCAGCGGCGGACGGGUGAGUAAUGCCUAGGAAUCUGCCUGGUAGUGGGGGAUAACGUCCGGAAACGGGCGCUAAUACCGCAUACGUCCUGAGGGAGAAAGUGGGGGAUCUUCGGACCUCACGCUAUCAGAUGAGCCUAGGUCGGAUUAGCUAGUUGGUGGGGUAAAGGCCUACCAAGGCGACGAUCCGUAACUGGUCUGAGAGGAUGAUCAGUCACACUGGAACUGAGACACGGUCCAGACUCCUACGGGAGGCAGCAGUGGGGAAUAUUAGACAAUGGGCGAAAGCCUGAUCCAGCCAUGCCGCGUGUGUGAAGAAGGUCUUCGGAUUGUAAAGCACUUUAAGUUGGGAGGAAGGACAGUAAGUUAAUACCUUGCUGUUUUGACGGUACCAACAGAAUAAGCACCGGCUAACUUCGUG